rnacentral:rRNA from 1 species
CCUACGGGUGGCUGCAGUGAGGAAUAUUGGUCAAUGGACGCGAGUCUGAACCAGCCAUGCCGCGUGCAGGAAGACGGCUCUAUGAGUUGUAAACUUCUUUUGUACGAGAGUAAACGCAGAUACGCGUACCUGUCUGAAUGUAUCUUACGAAUAAGGAUCGGCUAACUCCGUGCCAGCAGCCGCGGUAAUACGGAGGAUUCAAGCGUUAUCCGGAUUUAUUGGGUUUAAAGGGUGCGUAGACGGUUGGAUAAGUCAGUGGUGAAAUUUUGCGGCUCAACUGCGAAAUUGCCUUUGAUACUGGUAGGCUAGAGAGUAGUUGAGGUAGGCGGAAUGUAUGGUGUAGCGGUGAAAUGCUUAGAUAUCAUAAAGAACACCGAUUGCGAAGGCAGCCUACCAAGCUGCUUCUGACGUUGAGGCACGAAAGCGUGGGGAGCAAACAGGAUUAGAUACCCGUGUAGUC